rnacentral:sRNA from 1 species
GAGAUGGAGGGUUGCCGGCCUGUUGCCCCCGCGCCGGCGGCUCUCCCAGGGGGCGGGUUUCAAAUUCCGCCCCCGCAACACCUUCCGUCAGGAACAUGCCCCCCUCCGUCGGAAGGAACUCGGGCGGUGAAGUCCCCCAGCUUCACCGCCCACUUUC